UGCAAGUCGAACGGGAUCUUCGGAUCUAGUGGCAGACGGGUGAGUAACGCGUGGGAACCUGCCCAGUAGUAGAGAAUAACUUGAGGAAACUUAAGCUAAUACUUUAUACACCCUCCGGGGAAAAGCUUUAUGCGCUAUUGGAUGGGCCCGCGUUAGAUUAGUUUGUUGGUGAGGUAACGGCUCACCAAGACUACGAUCUAUAGCUGGUCUGAGAGGAUGAUCAGCCACACUGGGACUGAGACACGGCCCAGACUCCUACGGGAGGCAGCAGUGGGGAAUAUUGGACAAUGGGGGCAACCCUGAUCCAGCGAUGCCGCGUGAGUGAUGAAGGCCUUAGGGUUGUAAAACUCUUUCGUCAGGGAAGAUAAUGACGGUACCUGAAGAAGAAGAUCCGGCUAACUCCGUGCCAGCAGCCGCGGUAAUACGGAGGGAUCUAGCGUUAUUCGGAAUUACUGGGCGUAAAGCGAGCGUAGGCGGAUUUGUAAGUUGGAGGUGAAAUCCCAGAGCUUAACUCUGGAACUGCCUUCAAAACUACAUUUCUUGAGUUUGGUAGAGGAGAGUGGAAUUCCUAGUGUAGAGGUGAAAUUCGUAGAUAUUAGGAGGAACACCAGUGGCGAAGGCGACUCUCUGGGCCAAUACUGACGCUGAGGUUCGAAAGCAUGGGUAGCGAACAGGAUUAGAUACCCUGGUAGUCCAUGCAGUAAACGAUGAGUGCUAGAUGUUGGGAAUUUAAAUUUCCAGUAUCGCAGUUAACGCGUUAAGCACUCCGCCUGGGAAGUACGGCCGCAAGGCUAAAACUCAAAUGAAUUGACGGGGACCCGCACAAGCGGUGGAUCAUGUGGUUUAAUUCGAAGAUACGCGUAGAACCUUACCGGCUCUUGACAUACCAAUCGCGGACUUAGGAGAUUAAGUCUUUCACUUCGGGUGGAUUGGAUACAGGUGCUGCAUGGCUGUCGUCA
rnacentral:rRNA from 1 species